rnacentral:rRNA from 1 species
GACGAACGCUGGCGGCGUGCUUAACACAUGCAAGUCGAACGGAAGGGCCCUGCUUUUGUGGGGUGCUCGAGUGGCGAACGGGUGAGUAACACGUGAGUAACCUGCCCUUGACUUUGGGAUAACUUCAGGAAACUGGGGCUAAUACCGGAUAGGAGCUCCUGCUGCAUGGUGGGGGUUGGAAAGUUUCGGCGGUUGGGGAUGGACUCGCGGCUUAUCAGCUUGUUGGUGGGGUAGUGGCUUACCAAGGCUUUGACGGGUAGCCGGCCUGAGAGGGUGACCGGCCACAUUGGGACUGAGAGACGGCCCAGACUCCUACGGGAGGCAGCAGUGGGGAAUAUUGCACAAUGGGCGGAAGCCUGAUGCAGCAACGCCGCGUGCGGGAUGACGGCCUUCGGGUUGUAAACCGCUUUCGCCUGUGACGAAGCGUGAGUGACGGUAAUGGGGAAAGAAGCACCGGCUAACUACGU